rnacentral:rRNA from 1 species
CCUACGGGAGGCAGCAGUGGGGAAUAUUGCGCAAUGGGCGAAAGCCUGACGCAGCGACGCCGCGUGAAGGAAGAAGGCUUUCGGGUUGUAAACUUCUUUUCUCAGGGACGAAGCAAGUGACGGUACCUGAGGAAUAAGCCACGGCUAACUACGUGCCAGCAGCCGCGGUAAUACGUAGGUGGCAAGCGUUAUCCGGAUUUACUGGGUGUAAAGGGCGGGUAGGCGGGAAAGCAAGUCAGAUGUGAAAACCAUGGGCUCAACCUGUGGCCCGCAUUUGAAACUGUUUUUCUUGAGUACUGGAGAGGCAGACGGAAUUCCUAGUGUAGCGGUGAAAUGCGUAGAUAUUAGGAGGAACACCAGUGGCGAAGGCGGUCUGCUGGACAGCAACUGACGCUGAGGCGCGAAAGCGUGGGGAGCAAACAGGAUUAGAUACCCCAGUAGUC